UGGGAAAUGGGCAUGAUUCUAGCCCAAAGGAAAAUGGCAGCAUUCACACUGAGUCUCUAACCAUAGCUUUUAAACUGUGUUGUGCUUCAACUGCUGUGCCAGUUUUAGAACCAAUUCCUACUGAUGGCUGUCAGCACAUGGAGAGGAUCCCAACCUUCAUAACUAUGGAAGAAGCUUGGAGAGAUCAGCUGGCUAAGCUGCAGGAGUGCACAUUCAGGGAGGGCCAAGGAGUCUCUGAGAUGGAUGAACUCCAGCUCUCACCUUGAGACAGAGCUGCAGAGCCCAGGAGAAAGGGUAAGUGAGGGAAUUGCCAGGAGGAGAGGAGCAUCAUGGACAGUUUUGCAGCUAGACGGUGAUGAGAGCACAGAAACAAAUCACUUAUCAGACUCUGUCAAGUUGAACUUUGCUUUGACUUGACUCAGAUUGCAGAUGGAGGUUUCCCCAGCCCGGAAAAUGAAGCUAGAGCUGCUUCUGCCAGGGAAGGAGCCCCUCUUUGUUCAUGAAGCCACCCUGUUUGCAUCCCAAGCCCACACCCUGAGGGUGUCCCAGUGGGAAGGAAAAUGCUAAUGAAUGAUUCUGACUGCAACAAAAUAGACUGUGAAGUCAAAAUAGACUGCUGAAGUCAAGAAAACCAAUGAAAGACUUGCCAAGAGCAAAGGUUUCUCAAUGAGUCACAGGCCCACCUCCACUGAGUGCAGCUGCAAGGGCCUGGACCUUCGUCAAGAUGCAAGUGUCCAGAGCAAUGGAAUGGGACCCUGGGGGUACAAAUGCCUGUGACACUGAAGAGAACGGGUGAUCCACAAAAAGGUUCUUCCUCACAGACCUUCAGAAACAGGCACAGAGGCUUUGCACAGAGUCUUGCAGCUGCCAUGCUUGUGCCUGUUCCCUGGGUCCCUGCACCUGGACAGAGGUGCCAUGCUCCAACCUCCAACUGAGAGCCUGGCCUCAGCCAGGACGGCAGCAGGAGACGGUUCAUGGCAACAUCAAUAAAUUACAAACAGGGAGAACAAAUGGAUAGAAGAUUCAAGACGCAUAUACUCAUGGGAACAAGUCAACAAACAGGAAUACGGCAGAAAUAAAAGCAAUUAACAAGUAUUAAAAACAUAACCACAUUUUUACUCGAUUGUAAAUGAAAACCAGGGUGGUAACAUUGCAUGAAGAGAUGUGUGGUUUCUUUCUAAAAGAGACUGAUGAACUCUACCCUGUAUUGUCUGACCUCGAUGCAUGAAAAUAUAUCUAUAAUUACUCUACAACAAUGACACAUCCAUAUUAGUGAUUCAUGUAAUUAGCUCAGGGGCAUUAGAUAAAUUCAGUACUGAUUUAUUUGAUUUUUGCUGGUAGAUUUUUCCCUUUCAAUGCAUUUUACAGGAACAAAUGAAAAAAAUAGUAUUAAUAAAAAGAAUGCAAAGUUUGCUGUCUUAUCCAGAUAGACAGCAAAAAAAUGAGGAAUGUGCACCACUUUACAAAAGGGCGUAUGAUGUCUAAGUAAGUGUUUAACUGAAAAGUUAAGGUUUGCAUUAGGAGUCUGCAGUGAUUCUUGGUAUGUAGACACUAAAUAAAGGUGCUUAAUUGGCUUGUAUUCUGGGGCCCUGUGGAAUAUCCACGUCACUGGAAGUGAUCUGAUUUAUUUAGUGCUUGGACUCUGAAAGCCUCUGAAAAUGUAGGCAGUAAAUGCAGUGGUGGAGCUCUGCCAGCACACCCAGGACCUCAGCCCUU